GAGAGAGAGAAUGGGUUCUCUGGGGAUUGGAGGUGGGUUUGGGUGGAAAUAUCAUUUUGGAAGGAAACAUGGACACCCAAGAAGAGCAAAGGCUUGUGAAUCAGGAGAUGGUGAGUCCACCCUUGAAGGAAAUGGUGAUUGGAAUUUCAAAUUCCCAUUGAAACCAGCUCUUACUGCGGCCUCUCUCGCUCUUACUGGUGAUACCAUUGCCCAGAUUACCCGCCCAACAACUCCAACAACCUCAACUCAACAGCCCCAUCUCACAAAAAAGGAUGCAAUAUCAAAUCAUGAUUGGCUUCGAGCACUCCGAAUGGCCGCCUAUGGGUUUCUUCUGUAUGGUCCUGGAUCACAUGCAUGGUACCAGUUGCUUGAUAGCACUUUACCAAAGCAAACACUUGAAAACCUGACACUGAAGGUUAUAUUGAAUCAGGUUGUUCUUGGUCCAUGUGUGAUUGCUGUAAUUUUUGCAUGGAAUAACCUUUGGAUUGGAAGGCUUUCAGAGCUCCCUAAAAAAUAUCAGAAUGAUGCACUUCCUACACUCUUCAAUGGGUUUAAAUUCUGGAUCCCUGUCAGUGUGCUGAAUUUUGGGGUGGUUCCUCUUGAGGCUCGUGUGGCAUUCAUGUCAACCUGCUCCAUAUUUUGGAAUUUUUACCUCUCAUCCACCAUGAGUAGGUAGCCGACAUUAAAUACUCACCAUGGGGAAAGAUCAACUCUUCUAUUCAACAGAAACGUCCUUCUACACCAGGACCAGCAGAAACAUACAUUGUUUGAGGAGGAGAUGGUUCAUUGGGCAUCAAGUGUCGGGGUUACCAUUGGUUUUCAAACCAUUUUGCCAUCUGAAAUAAUUGCUUUUGAGAUUUGGAUGCCAGUUUGUUGUGAAAGGAACUUGUGUGGACAAAUAAUGACUUGCCACUUCCUGUGGUCAUGGCAUUGGAAAGUAUGUUACUUAAAUGAUUCAUGGUAGUUCUUUUGCUUAGUG